rnacentral:rRNA from 1 species
AGAACGAACGCUGGCGGCAUGCCUAAUACAUGCAAGUCGAACGAAGGCUUCGGCCUUAGUGGCGCACGGGUGCGUAACGCGUGGGAAUCUGCCCCUUGGUUCGGAAUAACAGUUGGAAACGACUGCUAAUACCGGAUGAUGACGAAAGUCCAAAGAUUUAUCGCCAAGGGAUGAGCCCGCGUAGGAUUAGCUAGUUGGUGAGGUAAAGGCU